AUCAGAGGAGCAGGUUGGUGGAGAUACCGAGGUCGGGGCACUUCCGCGCGGCUGGUGCUGGGCCGACGGAGGGCUGCAGUCGCUGCGUGGGGCCAAACUGCCAAGAACAGUCAAUUCUUUUUUUUUUUCCAUUUGAAAAACUGAGACUGCUAAGUUCAGUCUCCAGUUGGAAUAUCAUGGCGGCAAACCUGAAGUGCUGAUGCGUCAACCUACACAUCAAAUUGACUGACUAUACAAGCACUCCAGUAUUGGGCCCGAGAUUUGGGGCUGCUAAGUGAGGAGGCAACACAGCUGACCAAUAGAUACUCCUUUCAACUUUUAAAGAUGUCGGCUUAGCAUACUUUCUCAAAUACUGCCUCUAUUUUUUUUACUUCAGAUUUCUAGCUUUAACUGAAAUCAAACUUGUAAAAGGUUGACUGAGAUUAUUAAAAAAAUUAUCAACUUCCACAAAUCUAAAUCAGUUCAUGAUACAUACCUUGACAGCUUACUUAUUUGUUAGGAAAACAACUCUCACGGUGCAAAUUGUGCGAGCACCACAAAAACCAUGUUUGCAAGUUCCAACAAAUUCCUACAAAAUACCAUAUGUAAGAGGUGUCAUGCUAUACAAAGUGCA
rnacentral:lncRNA from 1 species